AGGGCUCUGUGUGGCUGGGGAAGGAGACUUAGGAGAGGAGCUUUCCAUUCUCCUAUGAGCAGGAGGAAGGAAAAGUAGCUGUACCACAGGAUGGGGGUCGACGCAGUGGUCUCCAGUGGUCAGACCCUGGAUGCCCAGAAUGGUCCACUGAGGUGUGGGAAGAAACCAUUAGAAUUUCCAUUAAAAAAAGGUUUCAAGAUGGACAUGAGCUUUUAACAUUCUCGCUGGAAACCACAAAUGGAGGACAAUUCAAAACAUCCCAGCUCAAGUGAAAACAAAUGCCAUCUCCAUCCUGGGCACCUCACAGGAAGAAUACUCAGAGGAAUUCUAUCAGCUUCCGGAAUUCCUCCCCCGAAAGUGCUGGCGGCCUAUGUGAUGCUGAAUAUGCCCAGCUAGCACCUGCAGUGCCGUCCCUGCUUACUGCUUCCCCAGCGUGAGCACCCAGAGCCCAAUGAGACAGAGCCAGAGGCACCAGGUCCAAUGCCAAGUGUAGUGCCAGCUCUCAAAUCAACUCAUCCAGAACAAACUGUAGAACCCAAUAGUGAUGUAGAGCCAGCUUAGGCACCAACAGCUGGUCUCGUCCCAGCUCCUCCAUCACCAGCCCUAGCACAAGCACCUGAGGGAGAGCAUGCCCCCAUUCGAGAUCAAAACAGCACAUCACCUGAGGAGCCCCCCUCUGAGUCCACAGGACAUAUCACCUGGGGAGCCCACUCCAGGUCCACAGGAUGCAAAACCUGAGGAGCACGCUCCAAGUCCAAAGAGAACAUCACCUGCGAAGUCCCCUCCAGGUCGACGGGGCACAUCACCUGGGGAGACCACUCCCAGUCCACCCAGCCCAUCACCUGAGGAGACCUCUCCAGGUCCAAAUGGGAGAUCAUAAGAAGAGACCGUUCCAUGUCCCCUACUCACAUCACCUGAAGAGACCACUCCAGGUGCACAACUUGCAUCACUUGAGAAGCCUGCUUCAAGUCUUCAUGGCAUCUCACCUCUGGAGUCCACUCCAGGGCCACACAGAGCAUCACCUCGUGGGUCAGCCCCAGAUGGACAAGGAGCAUCACCUCCAGGCCCACCCUUGAUAGACACGGAGCACCACCUGCAUGGCCUGCCCCUGAUGACACAGAGCAACUUCUGCGUUAUUCAUCCCCAUUUGACAAAGAGCAUCACCUCCAGGGUCCACUUCCAAUCGACACCAAGCAUCACCUGCUGAACCUGCCUUUGAUCGACAUAGAAUAUCCCCUUCAGGGCCCACUCCUGAUACACAGGGAGGAUCACCUGCAAUUCCCACCCCAAUCCACAGUAAGCAUCACCUGCAGGUCCCACCCCUGAUCCAAACGGAGCAUCACCUGCAGGGCUGACCCCCGAUUGAAAUGGAGCAUCACCUCCAGGGUAUGCCCUCCGAUUCAUAUGGAACAUCAUCUGCGGGAUCACCCCCCAUCGACAAGGAGAAUCACCUCCAGAGCCCACCAAUGAUCCACACAUAACAUCACCUGCGGGAUCUGCCCCUGAUCCUAUCCUCACAGAACAUCACCUGUGGGACCUACCCUCUAUCAACAUGGAGCAUCUUGUAUGGCGCCCACCCUGUGUUCACAUGGAGCAUCAAAUCUGGGGCACACACCUGAUCCACAUGGAGCGUCACAUGCGGGGCCCACUCCAGGUUGAAAUGCAGCAUCACCUGAGGGUCCUGCUCCCAAUCCACACAGAGCAUUACCCUCGGGGCAGCCCCCGUUUAACCAGGAGCAUUACUUGCAGGGCCCACACCCGAUACACGUGAAGCAUCACCUGUGUGGCCCACUGCCAUUUGAGAUGGAGUAUCAUCUAUGGGACCCGUAACCAAUAGACACGGAGCAUCACCUAUGGGGCUCGAAUCUGACCCACAUGGAGCAUCACCUGUUGGGCCCGCCCUCAAUCUACAGGGAACUUCUCCUGUGGGGCCUGCCCCUAAUAGACACGUGGCAUCACCUGUGGGGCCUGCCCGGGAUCCACAAGGAUCAACUCUGUGGCUUACCCCCAAUUAACAGGGAACGUCAUCUGUGGGGACUGCCCCCCCAAUAAACACGGAACAUCACCUGCUGGGCCCACCCACGAUUCACAGGGAACAUCACCUGUGGGCCUGGAACCCAACUGACACAGGGCAUCACCUGUGGGAUCACCCCCAAUCAACAAGAAGCGUCACCUGCGAGGUCCGCCCCUAAUCAACACGGAGCAUCGUCUGCAGGGCCCGCAUCAGGUACGCACAAAGCAACACCAGUGGGACCAGGCCCAAUCCACAUGGAGCAUCAACUAUGGGGCCCACACCCAAUCAACAUGAGGCAUUACCUGUGGGGCCCACCUCGGACCCACACAGAUCACCAACCCUGGGGUCUGCCCCAAAUCCAUAGGGAAAAUCAUCUACAGGACCCACCCCUGACCACCAAGGAGCAACACCUGCAGGGCCCGCAACCCACUGACAAGAAGCAUCACCUGUGGAGCCCACCACCAAUCUACUGGGAGAAUCACCUGAGGGAACUUCCCUCCAAUACACACAGAGCAUCACCUGCAGGGCCCACCCCUGAUUCACAGGGAAGAUCACCUGUGGGCCCAGCCCAUAAUCGACACGGGGCAUCACCUCUGGAGCCCGCCUUGGAUAAACACAGAUCAUCAACUCCGGGGCCCACACCCAAACCACAUGGGGCAUCUUCUUCCAGGUCCUCCCCAGAUCCACACCAAGUAUCACCUGUGAGACCACCCUCAA